AACGAACGCUGGCGGCAUGCCUAACACAUGCAAGUCGAACGAGACCUUCGGGUCUAGUGGCGCACGUGUGCGUACCGCGUGGGAACCUGCCCUUAGGUUCGGAAUAACUCCCCGAAAGGGGUGCUAAUACCGGAUAAUGUCUUCGGACCAAAGAUUUAUCGCCUUUGGAUGGGCCCGCGUUGGAUUAGCUAGUUGGUAGGGGACAAGCCUACCAAGGCGACGAUCCAUAGCUGGUCGGAGAGGAUGAUCAGCCACACUGGGACUGAGACACGGCCCAGACUCGUACGGGAGGGAGCAGUGGGGAAUAUUGGACAAUGGGCGAAAGCCUGAUCCAGCAAUGCCGCGUAAGUGAUGAAGGCCUUAGGGUUGUAAAGCUCUUUUACCCGGGAUGAGAAUGACAGUACCGGGAGAAUAAGCACCGGCUAACUCCGUG
rnacentral:rRNA from 1 species